CACAAUAUGAUGUUUAAUUUCGCCUGGGACUGGAAUCUGAAGACUGUGACUGAUCUGUGUGCUUGAUAGCUGUGAUUUUAGAAUGAACUCUCCUUGAAUAUUGUCUUUGCCAAUCCAUUACAAAGCUUGAGGUUUGUAGGUUUAAUGACACAUGCAAGUUCAUGAGUGUAGGGUAAACUCUUUCUGUGACCACCUUGAAAUGACACAAAUUCCUGCUUCUUGCUGUUACUUUACCCUCAUUCUGGGCUGUGUUAAUAGUUUGACUUGGUAAUCUCAGCACUUCUUCAUCUGUAUAGUAUCCAUUUUCGGGAUAAUAGUUUGACGUGUAAUCCCAGCACCUCUUCAUCUGAAUAGUAAUCAUUUUCAGGAUAAUAGUUUGUCUUGGUAAUCCC